UGAUCGUACUAACUAGAGGAUUUAUACCUCACGUCAUGUGUUGUUUCAUGAAAAUGUUUUUCCCUUUAGUGUCGCAGGAAAUCUCACAUCAAGUGGGCCAGCACAAGUAGAGGAGACACCUGCUAGGCCGUCAACCAUAACGCCUACUCAGAGAUAUCAACCACCAGUGCAAUCACCACAACCCAUCCCUGCUCCAGCAACUACCAAUCCAGUUCCUGCUCCUACUGCAGUACCUGAUGCGAUUUCUCCUACUACAAUACCUUCAACAACAACUGUUGCAGCAACUUCAGCGACUCAACAAACUGAAGCACCGCAACAACCUGCAG
rnacentral:lncRNA from 1 species